UUGUGACAUUGCACAUUGACUCCCACUUAUGUUUGGUGAACCUAAAAACAGAAGUAAUUCAUGAAUUAGUGAACCUGGAAACAGUAAUAGUUCAUGUAAAUAUGUGGAGUUUUUUUUGUCCUCAAAUAAAUAAUUUUUUUUUCAAGACUACCUGGAAUUAUUAUUUUUAAUUAGAGUUGAAAAAACUUUAUGUUGAAAGUUCCCAUUGGCGUUAUAUAGGUUGUUCCUUAAACAAAUGGAUCUUUGAUUGUGAGAGACUGAGAGCAUUAUUCCUCAGCUUCAAUGCAUCAUCUUGUGGUGCUUUCUCCUCUCCCCCUUCCUUGCCACUUCGGUACACUGGCACAAAACAGAGGCCUAGUCUGUGCAUAUUCCGAUGGAUACUCUUUCGUUCUCUCUACCCUGCACAAACAUAUGCUUGCAUCUGUAUGUGUGCUUUAAUCAAUGCAUGUUGUAAUGGACUAUGCCACCCCCUGCAUCUGUACCUUCACAUUACAUAGCAUAAUAUGCGGUAGAAUGUGUUCAGUUAUUUUGAUUAGUAGGGGCCCCAUUCUGAUUUUUCUAGACCAACUUCAGGGUGCACAGCUUGUGUUGCAAUUAUUAGAAACAAUCAACUUAUUGUUGCCAAUGCCGAUGAUUCUCAUUGUGUAAUAUCAAGGAAGGGUCAGGUGACAUGGAGUUUAAGCAGAAUAAGUUUUUGCCUGCUAAAAAGCAAAUUGUGACUGCUAAUCCAGAUAUAAAUACUGUGCGUAUUUUUUUUUCCAUUGUAGAUAAUUUGUUGUGACAUUGUUUUCCCAAAAAUAAUGGAUGCAGAUUAUCUUUGGGGAUAUAGAUAAGAAGAAAAACAGUAAUUCACAUCAUAAAUCAAUGAAACCUUUAUUGAACUA